UACGGGGGGGGCAAGCGUUGUUCGGAAUUACUGGGCGUAAAGGGCUCGUAGGUGGCCAACUAAGUCAGACGUGAAAUCCCUCGGCUUAACCGGGGAACUGCGUCUGAUACUGGAUGGCUUGAGUUCGGGAGAGGGAUGCGGAAUUCCAGGUGUAGCGGUGAAAUGCGUAGAUAUCUGGAGGAACACCGAUGGCGAAGGCAGUGUUCUGGGCCAGUACUGACGCUGAGGAGCGAAAGCGUGGGGAGCAAACAGG
rnacentral:rRNA from 1 species